GCUUUCAGUCGGAUGUUUGCAGCU
rnacentral:miRNA from 1 species